CAUGCAGUCGACGAAGUAGCAAUACUUAGUGGCAGACGGGUGAGUAACAUGUGGGUAUCUUCCCUUUGGUGAGGAAUAACACGAGGAAACUUGUGCUAAUACCUCAUAAGUCUUUACGGAGAAAGCUUUAUGCGCCAAUGGAUGAGCCCGCACUUGAUUAGUUUGUUGGUGGGGUAAUGGCCUACCAAGACGGUGAUCAAUAGCUGAUCUGAGAGGAUGAUCAGCCACAUUGGAACUGAGACACGGUCCAAACUCCUACGGGAGGCAGCAGUAGGGAAUCUUGCACAAUGGAGGAAACUCUGAUGCAGCGAUGCCGCGUGAGUGAAGAAGGCCCUUGGGUUGUAAAGCUCUUUCGUCGGGGAAGAAAAUGACUGUACCCGAAUAAGAAGGUCCGGCUAACUUCGUGCCAGCAGCCGCGGUAAUACGAAGGGACCUAGCGUAGUUCGGAAUUACUGGGCUUAAAGAGUUCGUAGGUUGUUAAAAAAGUUGGUGGUGAAAUCCCAGAGCUUAACUCUGGAACUGCCAUCAAAACUUUUUAGCUAGAGUAUGAUAGAGGAAAGCAGAAUUUCUAGUGUAGAGGUGAAAUUCGUAGAUAUUAGAAAGAAUACCGAUUGCGAAGGCAGCUUUCUGGAUCAUUACUGACGCUGAGGAACGAAAGCAUGGGUAGCGAAGAGGAUUAGAUACCCUCGUAGUCCAUGCCGUAAACGAUGUGUGUUAGACGUUGGAAAUUUAUUUUCAGUGUCGCAGCGAAAGCAGUAAACAC
rnacentral:rRNA from 1 species